GACGAACGCUGGCGGCGUGCUUAACACAUGCAAGUCGAGCGGUAAGGCCCUUUCGGGGGUACACGAGCGGCGAACGGGUGAGUAACACGUGGGUGACCUGCCCUUAGCUCUGGGAUAAGCCUGGGAAACUGGGUCUAAUACCGGAUAUGACUCCACAACGCAUGUUGUGGGGUGGAAAGCCUUGUGCGGCUAGGGAUGGGCCCGCGGCCUAUCAGCUUGUUGGUGGGGUGAUGGCCACCAAGGCGACGACGGGUAGCCGGCCUGAGAGGGCGACCGGCCACACUGGGACUGAGACACGGCCCAGACUCCUACGGGAGGCGGCAGUGGGGAAUCUUGCGCAAUGGGCGAAAGCCUGACGCAGCGACGCCGCGUGGGGAUGACGGCCUCGUGUAAC
rnacentral:rRNA from 1 species